rnacentral:rRNA from 1 species
GACAGAGGAUGCAAGCGUUGUCCGGAAUUAUUGGGCGUAAAGGGCGCGUAGGCGGCGCAACAAGUCACUUGUGAAAUCUCCGGGCUUAACCCGGAGCGGCCAAGUGAUACUGUCGUGCUAGAGUGCGGAAGGGGCUACUGGAAUUCUCGGUGUAGCGGUGAAAUGCGUAGAUAUCGAGAGGAACACCAGUGGCGAAGGCGGCUCACUGGCCCGGUACUGACGCUGAUGUGCGAAAGCGUGGGGAGCAAACAGG